rnacentral:rRNA from 1 species
UACGAAGGGGGCUAGCGUUGCUCGGAAUUAUUGGGCGUAAAGGGAGCGUAGGCGGGUUAUCAAGUUGGAGGUGAAAGCCCAGGGCUCAACCUUGGAAUUGCCUUCAAAACUGAUAGCCUAGAGUAUGAUAGAGGUAUGUGGAACUCCGAGUGUAGAGGUGAAAUUCGUAGAUAUUCGGAAGAACACCAGUGGCGAAGGCGACAUACUGGGUCAUGACUGACGCUGAGGCUCGAAAGCGUGGGGAGCAAACAGG